AGACGUCUACAUUAGACGUACCCGGGUAGUCCCAGCCGUAAACUAUGCUCGCUAGGUGUCAGGCAUGGCGCGACCGUGUCUGGUGCCGCAGGGAAGCCGUGAAGCGAGCCACCUGGGAAGUACGGCCGCAAGGCUGAAACUUAAAGGAAUUGGCGGGGGAGCACAACAACGGGUGGAGCCUGCGGUUUAAUUGGACUCAACGCCGGACAACUCACCGGGAACGACAGCAGUAUGUAGGCCAGGCUGAAGACCUUGCCUGAAUCGCUG
rnacentral:rRNA from 1 species